AUUCACGCUAAAUCACGGGAUGCGCUUUAGUUUAUGUAUCCACAAUAUCACAUUUGCAUGGAUAAACUAAAAAACGAUGAUUGAAUUAUGUGUUCAUUAAAAAUUUGCUAUAUAUUCUGUUCAUGAAAGAAAAUACGGGAGAUAACUCUAACUCAGUGCGUUUCAUAAUUAUGAAAAAUUUCAAGAGUUCUGAAUGUCAACAUGGUGUGCAAAUGUGAUAUAUCUAUUUCGUAAAUGUCUGACAUAAUAUGCUAUGUCAACCCAUGCAUGCACGGGUCAAAGUCUAGUUGUAUAAUAUUCAUUUAACUUAUUCACAUAUGGUUAGAAAAAAACGGUUUCACUGCCAACUCUUCAGUCGAUUUUUAAGCAAUAUAAGUUACAUAAUGUCAUAAAAGUUGGUGAGCGCUAUAGAGAAACAUUUUUGCAUUGGGUUCUCUUUCUCUCUCUCUUUUUUUUUUAAGGGGGAGAGGGAAAGAAAGAGGAGAUAAAAACUCCCAGACAAAAAAUGUAUUCAAGAAAAUGUUUUUGAUUGGGAUUGUUGACUCAUUGAGAGAGAGAGAGAGAGAGAGAGAGCAUCCCUUGUAUAACAAUUAAAUUGGUAAUCAUCUAUAAUGUAAUAUUUCACUUAAAAGAGUCUGAUAACUUGAAAACACUUUAUUAUAACUUGAAAAAACACUUUAUUAAAAUUAGCACAUGUACUGGUACAUGAAGAAAACUUGCAAGGCAUAUCAAUAGUGAAGUGCACACACUGCAAAUUUAAACUGUGAUAAAUAUUAAUUAAGUGUAAAAUAAUUCUAAACAAAAAGUUACUAGUUGUGAAGUAUUUUCUAUCUUCAUAUUCUACUAGUAUUUGCUUAUAUGGCCUAUUUUUUCUGCUAAUUUCAAAGAAGUAUAAAAAUUACAUGCAAUUUAUACAAGAACUAGAAACACAGUACAUAGAGUAUACCUAGUAUAUGUAUACAUGUACUAUUUUACAAAUCUUUGUGAGGGGAAUAUUUAUAACUAUAUUAUUCCCAAAUAAACCCUUUCAACAAACAUCAAAUAAAAUAUUUUUAAUAACAGAAAUAAGUGUACACCAUUCAAAAAGAAAAAAAAACCCAAC